rnacentral:lncRNA from 1 species
GGAGGCAGGCAACACCAGCCCUCAGGCUACACUCUCCAUUUGGAGCAGAGCUUCUUCGGCAGCCCCAGGUCUCCCGGGAUCUUCCUCGGUGUCCUGCGGAGGCUCUGGCUCCAGCGUGGGCUCCAGCGCAGGCUGGGCUUCCGGCUGGGCUUCAGCGCUCCGGCCAGGCCCAAGGCGAGGCGGCUUGACCGGGGUGGGCGGUGGCGCUGCAGGGCCUUUCCGGCCCGAAAGGGCCCUUCGGAGGCUCUGUACCUUCUGCAAUCCGGUGCGCCGCAGCCGCUGGGCCCUGGACUCCACCGGCUCCUCGUCCGAGCUCUCUCCAACUUCGGCCUCCAGCUGCUCUGGGCCCAGCUCGGACUGGUCCGCCGGGCCCAAGGGCUCUGGUGCCUUCUGGAAAGCGCUGGCUGGGACUUCACCCUCCUCCUGCAUGUGACGGACACAGCACUGAUCCUGGCAGCUCCUUACCCCCAGCAGCCCGAAACUCACUCCUUAAUUACACAAGGGAAACCUUUUACCUCCGCAGCCAGAGUCUGGGGGGAAAGGCAGGCGUGGGAAGAUGGGUUCUCUACCUGGCCAGUGCCAUGUUGCCUGUUUCUUUACUGUAACUGUGGUGACAAAGAAAAGGGAAGAUGGAGCCUCCAUGUUGAACAUACCUGGCCCCCAGCACUAACUCCCUCUCUGGAUAUCUGGAACAAGGAGGACCUUAAACUUAACAAUAAAGCCAAUGAUGGUUCUACCAGUCUCCCCAAAGCCUCAAGUUUAAAAGCCAUAUGAACUGGCUGAUAGUGGAAAAUGGAAGCCAUGAGGAAAUCAGAUUAGAGUACUACCUGGUGAAGCCUGGAGGACCUACCAAGAAAAGCAAACUUGGAUCUUUGCAAGGUUAGAAGAACGAAUGGGAUCCAAGAAAAAGACUGGUCAUAUUCAACGGCUAAGAGCGUUGGAGAAGGCCUGUGGAGUCUCAGCAGGUCAGGUCCAUGACUCAUGAGUAGACACCUGUGUUUCUACUGCCUGGUGCCAUAAUCAUAAACAAGAGUAAUCAGCAAAUGCCUUUCCUUUCUCCUGCUGAUGUUUUGCCCGUACUCAGACCCCUUGACUUCUUAGCUUCUACCCAAAGUGAGCUUGUCAUCAAAGUUCUCCAAAAAUCUGCAGUGUUCUCUUGAGCAAAUCUGCCUGCUCAAAUUUUCCUAUACAGUUCAAUACACUGAUUGAGGCCAGGCGCGGUGGCUCACACCUGUAAUCCCAGCACUUCGGGAGGCCAGACGGGUGGAUCACGAGGUCAGGAGAUCGAGAACAUCCUGGCUAACAUGGUGAAACCCCAUCUCUACUAAAAAUACAAAAAAUUAUCCGGGUGUGGUGGUGGGCACCUGUAGUCCCAGCUACUCGGGAGGCUGAGGCAGGAGAAUGGCGAGAACCCGGGAGGCAGAGCUUGCAGUGAGCCGAGAUCGAGCCACUGCACUCCAGCCUGGGCGACAGAGCAAGACUCCAUCUCCCAAAAAAAAAAAAAAAAUACACUGAUUGAGCCCCAAGCUCUGGCAUCCCAGUGUACCCCAAGUGCAUGCCUGUUGUGUUGCAGCUUCCAAGACUAUAGCGCUCUGAUGCAUUGAGAUGACAGCAAGCGGCAUUUUUCAGUCCUGUUACCCAUAUGGCUGCUACCACUGCAUCCUGUUAAAUAAUGUCUUCAACCCAAGAAACCUGCUUCCUAGGGAAGUUUCUCUCUCUCUGCAUUUGUUCCCACUAGAGAAUGACCAUCACCAGAUUCCUGAACUGAAAAUGCUGUUGACACUUUGGAAACUCGGGCCUCUAUUAAUAGGGUGACCAACUAUCCUGGUUUACCUUGAGUACAGGAUUUUCAAUGCUAAAACCAGAAAAACCAGGAUGGUUGGUCAUCUGCCUCAGACCUAAUAAAUACCAGUCAAUAAUUCAGCCAUGAGCUUUCUUAAGACACUGUCUUUUCUUGACUGUUGAAUAGUCUAGGACUUGAGUAGCAGCUCUUUCUGCUACUGGACACUUGUUUUACUACCCUAUUUCUCUAGAUUUUAUUUUGUGGCUAAUAAUUAAGACAUAAAAUCAUGGGUUCUGGUUAUGCCAAAGCACUCACUCUUCAAAAGUUUCCAUCCAGAGUUGGAUAAUCCCACACAGAAGGUGUUCUUUCAACAGACCAGCAUCCAAUAGACCCAAUGCAGCAUUUUUCUUCCUGGUUCCACAUUAAUACAUCCUAUCUCUGCUAUGCUUAGGUCCCUGAUUUAUAAAUAUUUCAGACAUAUUUUCUCAGGACACAGGGAGUACUUAAACUUCCACAUAGCAGAGAUACGACAUACAAUAAGCUGUUAUCUGGAAACUCCUAGUGAUGCUUUGAGUACUUUACAGUAAUCUUUCUGGUCUUCCUCUCAACCCCAUUAAGUUUUUCUGUAACUAGCUGGUGUAUCUGUCUCCAUCUUUAAGGAAUAAGUCCCUAUUUGCUCAUGCUAUAAUCUCCCUCAUGCUCUCCGUCCCUCCUUCCCUCUCCUUCUCUCUUUCUGUCUCUCUCUCUCUCCACCCUGAUUGUGAGAUGCUACACCUUAAUAGUUUUCUAUACCUAGAUCCCUUUUGAAGGAGUAAUUUCAGCCAUCACUGAAAUCUAUGCUUUUUUAUCUUGUUAGAUUUAUUUAGGACCUAAUGACUGUUUCUGAGCUAAUAAUAACGCAAUCAGCUCAUAUUUUUCUGAUACUCUAAGAGCAAUUACAUCUAGUUGCAUCACCUUUUCCUUUUUUAUUCAUGUAUCUUAGGCUUCUCAAGAUAUGAGACUAGCACUUGAGCCUGAGAUAAGCCUUAAGAAUUCCAGGAUAGUCUCUCCAUAGUUCCCUUUCUUGGAUAAAGUCAUUUCAAAACAUCUUAGUGGAUCAGAUUUGGAGCAGCCUACUUACACUGGUGAAUACCACAACUAAUAAAUAAUUGUUCUGCACCCCACCCACAUCUAAAGGAUUCAGGGUGUCUUUUACAGAUAUAGGACUCUCCUUUCUCUGUUUCUCUUCUCUCUCUUCUCCUUGAUUAAAGCUUUGCUUCAGCUGUCCCUGCUCACUACGGCACUGCACCUCACCAGCAUCUUCAUGGCCCUCACAUGGCUCAUGUGCAUAUCCUAACUCUGAUACUAAGGGAGGAGACCACCCCUCAUAUUGUCUUAUGCCCAAUUUCUGCCUCCAAAGAAAGAAGAAGUAAAAACUAAAAGGCAGAAAUGAAAUCCACAAGCAGACAGCCCGGCGCCACACCCUGGGCCUGGUAGUUAAAGAUCGACCCCUGACCUAAUCGGUUAUUUGCAUAAGAAAAGCACUGUGAAGAUCCCUGUCCUGUUCUGUUCCAUUCUAAUUACCGGUGUAUGCAGCCCCCAGUCAUGUACCCCUGCUUGCUCAAUCGAUCACGACCCUCUCACGUGGACCCCCUUAGAGUUGUGGGCCCUUAAAAGGGACAGGAAUUGCUCACUCGGGGAGCUUGGUUGUUGGAGAUGUGAGUCUUGCUAAAGCUCCCAGCCGAAUAAAGCCCUUCCUUCUUA